rnacentral:tRNA from 1 species
GGCUCUGUGGCGCAAUGGAUAGCGCAUUGGACUUCUAAUUCAAAGGUUGUGGCUUAGAAUCCCACCAGAGUCG